rnacentral:lncRNA from 1 species
CUGCGCGUUCUGGCACAGCAGCAUCACGUCCUUCUCCAGGUCGUUCAGGCUGCGGUAUUUGUGGUUGCGGAUGCGCUCCUUAAUCUUCUUGAAGUCCACGGGCUUGCGGAUGAGCUCGUAGUACUCGGGCAGCUCCUUGCGGGAGGGCAGCUGGAUGAACACCUCGCUCAGCUGCCGUCCACUGCUGCUGUCCUUGUACUUAAUGACGGCGUCCACGAUCUUCUUCAUCUUCUUGGUCAGGUUGGGGGGGUUCGGGGAGAGCUUCUCAGCCGGGGGCCGCCCGCGCUUCUUCUGCUUCUUGCUGUCCUCGUCCUUCUCCCGGCUGCGGGUGCUGGCGGGGGGGCGGCGGGGGGGCCCUCGGCGUCGCGCUUCCGCUUCCGGGAGGACUUCUUCUGGCGCACCUCCUCCUCUAUCUCCUCCAGGGUGCCCUCCUCGAUGGCCU